AGCGAACGCUGGCGGCAUGCCUAACACAUGCAAGUCGAACGAUGCCUUCGGGCAUAGUGGCGCACGGGUGCGUAACGCGUGGGAAUCUGCCUUUCGGUUCGGAAUAACUCAGGGAAACUUGAGCUAAUACCGGAUAACGUCGCAAGACCAAAGAUUUAUCACCGAAAGAUGAGCCCGCGUAGGAUUAGCUAGUUGGUGAGGUAAAGGCUCACCAAGGCGACGAUCCUUAGCUGGUCUGAGAGGAUGAUCAGCCACACUGGGACUGAGACACGGCCCAGACUCCUACGGGAGGCAGCAGUGGGGAAUAUUGGACAAUGGGCGAAAGCCUGAUCCAGCAAUGCCGCGUGAGUGAUGAAGGCCUUAGGGUUGUAAAGCUCUUUUACCCGGGAAGAUAAUGACGGUACCGGGAGAAUAAGCCCCGGCUAACUCCGUG
rnacentral:rRNA from 1 species